rnacentral:rRNA from 1 species
AGAGUUUGAUCAUGGCUCAGGAUGAACGCUAGCGGCAGACUUAAUACAUGUGAGUCGAGGGGCAGCGGAUCCCUCCGGGGAUGCCGGCGACCGGCGAACGGGUGAGUAACACGUAUGGAACCUGCCCUUAACCGGGAAAUAGCUUUGAGAAAUCGAAGGUAAUGUCCCAUACCAUCUGAAGAAGGCAUCUUUUUCAGAUGAAAGCUCCGGCGGUUAAGGAUGGCCAUGCGGUCCAUUAGCUUGUUGGUGAGAUAACCGCUCACCAAGGCUGCGAUGGAUAGCUGAUCUGAGAGGAUGAUCAGCCACAUUGGCACUGAGACACGGGCCAAACUCCUACGGGAGGCAGCAGUAGGGAAUCUUGGUCAAUUGGCGAAAGCCAGAACCAGUCAUGCCGCGUGCAGGAUGAAGGCCCUACGGGUCGUAAACUGCUUUUAUUCGGGAAGAAAAAGUCUGUUUCCACAGACCUUGACGGUACCGAUUGAAUAAGGACCGGCCAACUCCGUGCCAGCAGCCGCGGUAAUACGGAGGGUCCAAGCGUUAUCCGGAUUCACUGGGUUUAAAGGGUGCGCAGGCGGCUAAGUAAGUCAGUGGUGAAAGCCUUCGGCUCAACCGGAGAAUUGCCAUUGAAACUACUUAGCUUGAGUGCAGUAGAGGUAGGCGGAAUGUAGCAUGUAGCGGUGAAAUGCAUAGAUAUGCUACAGAACACCGAUAGCGAAAGCAGCUUACCACACUGUAACUGACGCUGAGGCACGAAAGCAU